GUGGUAGGUCGCAGCCUCUGGGCAGGUCUCAGUGUCCAACACUGUAGCUGGUGCCUGCCAGGUUCCCAGUCGCUGGGGUCACCAGGUCUGAAGAGAGAUGUGCUGGCUGCGGGCGUGGGGCCAGAUUCUCCUGCCAGUUUUCCUCUCCCUCUUUCUCAUCCAAUUGCUUAUCAGCUUCUCAGAGAAUGGUUUUAUCCACAGCCCCAGGAACAAUCAGAAACCAAGAGAUGGGAAUGAAGAGGAAUGUUCUGUAAAGAAGAGUUGUCAAUUGUGCACAGAAGAUAAGAAAUGUGUUUGGUGUAGUGAAGAAAAAGCAUGCAAAAAAUACUGUUUUCCCUAUUUCGGUUGUCGAUUCAGUUCUAUAUAUUGGUUAAACUGUAAAGUUGACAUGUUUGGAAUCAUGAUGCUUCUACUCAUUGCAAUAUUAAUUACAGGAUUCGUUUGGUACUGCUGCGCCUAUCACUUUUACCUGCAGGAUUUGAACAGAAAUCGUGUCUAUUUUUAUGGAAGACGAGAAACAGUUCCUAUUCACGACCGC
rnacentral:lncRNA from 1 species